AAGAGAGGGUGAGUAAAAGGACUGUCCAGUACAAGUUAAUUUAAAGAAAAGAAUAUAGUUUUGUUUUUCUUUUUCUUAAAGAGCAUUUCGGCCGUAAAGGAUAUUGUGGAUUCUGCUGCAGUGUGGCAUACAAAUGUUCCUGUUGAAAUUAAAGCCGAAACCUGCUUGUGUAUGCCAAUGUAUGUCAUACUGGAGAAUCAUACUGAGCAAUGAAAGCGUCUUCAAGAUGGCUGGCUGGAGGGUGUCAAACAGGAGAAAUCCUGGAUUAGGAAUGCUGUCUCUUGGACAUUUGUGAUUUCCAAAGAGUCCCCCUUGUCCUUUCUUGACACCCUGGAAAUAACUUCUAUUCUUCUCAGCUUUCUGCCAAGUAGUGCCAACCUAGAUCCAUUGUUAACAUAAGCAGAAGAAUUACCUUUGAAACAAAUUCUUGCCAUCAUUUAAGGUUCAAUCUAUGUUUGUAGAUGCAUAUGUGGACUGCUGGAGCCCAGCACUAUGACAUUUCUGUCAAUAUAAGGAAGGUAUGUGUAUGUAAAUGUGAUGUCACUAUACCAGAGCAAUUAAAUUAGCAACUAACGGUGAUCAAAAUCAAACACACAAGAGUUUUGUAACCACAGCUGCAACUAUACAUUACUUCAUAUUUUGCCAGUCAAAACUAAAUUCGGACAGUGCAAUCUACUGUAUUAGGGACCAGCCAAUAAUAAUGUUUAAAGAUGAAGCCACUUUAUUCUGUACAGCUGUCUCAGUAAGUAAAAUAUUUUAUUAACAUUUACAAAAACAAUACAUGUUUACCAUAACAACUUAGAACCAUAAAGUAUAAAGUAGUAUGGUUCCAUAUCAUUCUUUUUAAAAUAUUUUUUAAUAACCAGUAUCAAACAGCAGGAAUAUUAUUUCACCU